rnacentral:rRNA from 1 species
GCAAUGGACGAAAGUCAGACGCAGCGACGCCGCGUGGGCGAUGAAGGCCUUCGGGUUGUAAAGCCCUUUUAUGGGGGAAGAGAAAAAGGACGGUACCCCAGGAAUAAGUCCCGGCUAACUACGUGCCAGCAGCCGCGGUAAAACGUAGGGGACAAGCGUUAUCCGGAUUCACUGGGCGUAAAGAGCGUUGAGGCGGUUCCGUAAGUUGGGCGUGAAAGCUCCGGGCUUAACUCGGAGAUGUCGUUCAAUACUGCGGGGCUUGAGGACAGCAGAGGAAGGUGGAAUUCCCGGUGUAGUGGUGAAAUGCGUAGAUAUCGGGAGGAACACCCGUGGCGAAGGCGGCCUUCUGGGCUGUUCCUGACGCUGAAGGCGAAAGCUAGGGGAGCGAACGGGAUUAGAUACCCCGGUAGUCCUAGCUGUAAACGAUGGAUGCUGGGUGUGGGGGGUGUAAAUUCCCUCUGUGCCGAAGCAAACGCGUUAAGCAUCCCGCCUGGGGACUACGGCCGCAAGGCUAAAACUCAAACGAAUUGACGGGGGCCCGCACAAGCAGCGGAGCGUGUGGUUUAAUUCGAUGCUACACGAAGAACCUUACCUGGGUUUGACAUGCACGUGGUAGGGAACCGAAAGGGGACCGACCUUCGGGAGCGUGCACAGGUGCUGCAUGGCUGUCGUCAGCUCGUGCCGUGAGGUGUCGGGUUAAGUCCCGUAACGAGCGCAACCCUUGCCCUUAGUUACAAGUGUCUAAGGGGACUGCCCGGGACAACUGGGAGGAAGGUGGGGAUGACGUCAAGUCAGCAUGGCCUUUAUAUCCAGGGCUACACACGCGCUACAAUGGCCGGUACAAUAGGUUGCGAAGUCGUGAGGCGGAGCCAAUCCUCAAAGCCGGUCUCAGUUCGAAUUGCAGUCUGCAACUCGAC